GACGAACGCUGGCGGCGUGCUUAACACAUGCAAGUCGAACGAUGAAGAAGAGAAACGCGAACUUCGGUUCAAAUUUCACUUCGGAUUAGUGGCAGACGGGUGAGUAACGCGUGAGCAACCUACCUCUUACAAAGGGAUAGCCUCGGGAAACCGUGAUUAAUACCAUAUGACACAUUCAUAUGGCAUCUUAAGAAUGUUAAAGCUACGGCGGUAAGAGAUGGGCUCGCGUCCCAUUAGCUAGUUGGUGAGGUAACGGCCCACCAAGGCGACGAUGGGUAACCGGCCUGAGAGGGUGAACGGUCACAUUGGAACUGAGACACGGUCCAAACUCCUACGGGAGGCAGCAGUGGGGAAUAUUGCACAAUGGAGGGAACUCUGAUGCAGCGACGCCGCGUGAGCGAUGAAGGAAUUCGUUUCGUAAAGCUCUGUUCUAUGGGAAGAAAAGGACUGUACCAUAGGAGAAAGCCCCGGCUAAAUACGUG
rnacentral:rRNA from 1 species